rnacentral:rRNA from 1 species
AUUGAACGCUGGCGGCAUGCUUUACACAUGCAAGUCGGACGGCAGCGGGGUAGUGCUUGCACUACUGCCGGCGAGUGGCGAACGGGUGAGUAACAUAUCGGAACGUACCGAGCAGUGGGGGAUAACUAAUCGAAAGAUUAGCUAAUACCGCAUAUAUUCUGAGGAAGAAAGCAGGGGACCUUUGGGCCUUGCGCUGUUUGAGCGGCCGAUAUCUGAUUAGCUGGUUGGUGGGGUAAAGGCCUACCAAGGCGACGAUCAGUAGCGGGUCUGAGAGGAUGAUCCGCCACACUGGGACUGAGACACGGCCCAGACUCCUACGGGAGGCAGCAGUGGGGAAUUUUGGACAAUGGGGGCAACCCUGAUCCAGCCAUGCCGCGUGUCUGAAGAAGGCCUUCGGGUUGUAAAGGACUUUUGUCCGGGAAGAAAAGCGCGAUGUUAAUACCAAUGCGUGCUGACGGACCGGAAGAAUAAGC